rnacentral:rRNA from 1 species
UACGUAGGGCGCAAGCGUUGUCCGGAAUUAUUGGGCGUAAAGAGCUUGUAGGCGGUCUGUCGCGUCUGCUGUGAAAAUCCGGGGCUCAACCCCGGACUUGCAGUGGGUACGGGCAGACUAGAGUGUGGUAGGGGAGACUGGAAUUCCUGGUGUAGCGGUGAAAUGCGCGGAUAUCAGGAGGAACACCGAUGGCGAAGGCAGGUCUCUGGGCCACUACUGACGCUGAGAAGCGAAAGCAUGGGGAGCGAACAGG